GAUGAACGCUGGCGGCGUGCCUAAUACAUGCAAGUCGAGCGAACAGACGAGGAGCUUGCUCCUCUGACGUUAGCGGCGGACGGGUGAGUAACACGUGGAUAACCUCCCUAUAAGACUGGGAUAACUUCGGGAAACCGGAGCUAAUACCGGAUAAUAUAUUGAACCGCAUGGUUCAAUAGUGAAAGACGGUUUUGCUGUCACUUAUAGAUGGAUCCGCGCCGCAUUAGCUAGUUGGUAAGGUAACGGCUUACCAAGGCAACGAUGCGUAGCCGACCUGAGAGGGUGAUCGGCCACACUGGAACUGAGACACGGUCCAGACUCCUACGGGAGGCAGCAGUAGGGAAUCUUCCGCAAUGGGCGAAAGCCUGACGGAGCAACGCCGCGUGAGUGAUGAAGGUCUUCGGAUCGUAAAACUCUGUUAUUAGGGAAGGACAAAUGUGUAAGUAACUAUGCACGUCUUGACGGUACCUAAUCAGAAAGCCACGGCUAACUACGUG
rnacentral:rRNA from 1 species